UAGUUCAUGUGCGUAAUUUUUAAAGAUAGACAUAAGACAUAUCCCUGAAGGCGAGUACAAGAGAGAAAGACAGGGCUCUGAAAAUACUGCCACAGGCUCAAGUUCCAAAGUGCUGGAGUUACAAAAGGAUAAAGGACAACGCAAAGGACUUUUUAGCCAAAGAAGAACCAGAAAGGUUCUGAGCACUGAUUUCAUCAAGCCGAUGGAGGCAACAACAUAUUCCUUAGAGAAAAUUAAGAUGCACAGUAUGCUUCAAGAUGAUGGCCAAGAACAACCAACUCAACGAGCCUUCAGGAAUUCAUGAUUUGAAUAUCAUGUUCAAGCUACAGACAUCAGCAAACUCGAGAAAAGAAGGUUUGCUCUGGGAGAUUCUACAUGUGACCUGUUUAUAUGUAAUUACAUUAUCUAUUACUCAAGUAUUUGUCUUGUGCUGUCUAAAUUAUAAGCUUCUCAACUGUUUGCCUUGAGUGAGAUAUGCACG